AUUGAACGCUGGCGGCAUGCUUUACACAUGCAAGUCGAACGGCAGCGCGGGCUUCGGCCUGGCGGUGAGUGGCGAACGGGUGAGUAAUACAUCGGAACGUGCCCAGUAGUGGGGGAUAGCUCGGCGAAAGCCGGAUUAAUACCGCAUACGACCUGAGGGUGAAAGCGGGGGAUCUUCGGACCUCGCGCUAUUGGGGCGGCCGAUGGCAGGUUUGCUAGUUGGUGGGGUAAAGGCCUACCAAGGCGACGAUCUGUAGCUGGUCUGAGAGGACGACCAGCCACACUGGGACUGAGACACGGCCCAGACUCCUACGGGAGGCAGCAGUGGGGAAUUUUGGACAAUGGGCGAAAGCCUGAUCCAGCAAUGCCGCGUGUGUGAUGAAGGCCUUCGGGUUGUAAAGCACUUUUGGCGGGAACGAAAAGGACUGUGCCAAUACCACGGUUGGAUGACGGUACCCGCAGAAUAAGCACCGGCUAACUACGUG
rnacentral:rRNA from 1 species